rnacentral:lncRNA from 1 species
UAAAGGCAUGCACCACCAUGUCCGGCCAUAUUUAUCUUUUUCUAUGCUAUCUGUGUUGUUUUUCUAUAUCUCACACAUCUUGAUGUAGAAAAUGUCAUACAAGCAUAAUAUUUGUGGAUGAUGUAAGUCAUUACUCUUUAAAGCUCAAGUCAUUAAUGGUCUAUUAAAAGACUGCAGCACUUUGAAAUGACAUUUUAAUUCUUUGUUUUAGAGUAACAUAGGUGCAGGGGAUGAGAUCUGAAUGAGGCUGGAGACAUGCCUUCCCACCAGCCACAGUUCCUGAUUUUUUUGCUCACGGUGCUUAUUUAUUGAGAUAAGCCCCAGCCUCUUUGGAUGCACAGCUGCAUCGUGCACAUGGAAACCCCUUCUGAGCCAACAAUGAGUGCACAAGCCUCGUUACAUCAUGGUUAUCCUGUUUGGCUCAGCACUGUCUGUCUGUCUCACUUUGUUUAAAGCCAGAUUAUGAAGCUAUUCCUGCUUCCAUGAAGCAUUGGAGCUCAAAGCUGAACCAGGCCUGGAGAGCAGAAGAAAUGUAAAGGGUCAAGGUCUAAACCAAACACACAAAGCCAGCUUUCAAAAAUGCAAAUCAGAUGAAAGCCUGUCUCUGAUCCAGCUAUGCUUUGUUAGGGUUGUAGUAGUAGCACUUGGGAUACAGACUCAUGAGAACCAGGAGUUCAAGGUCAUCCUCAGCUACCUAUGGAGUUCAAGGUCAGCAGGAGCUAUAUUAUAUCUCAUUUCAAAAAGCCAAAUAUGGAUUCAAGUUAAAAUGAAACUAAAUUGGAAAUCUCAUUGUAUUAGUCAAGGUUCUCUAGAGAACAGAACUGAUAGAGUGAAUAUAUAUUCAUAUUAUG